rnacentral:rRNA from 1 species
GACGAACGCUGGCGGCGUGCUUAACACAUGCAAGUCGAACGGAAAGGCCCUGCUUUUGUGGGGUGCUCGAGUGGCGAACGGGUGAGUAACACGUGAGUAACCUGCCCUUGACUUUGGGAUAACUUCAGGAAACUGGGGCUAAUACCGGAUAGGAGCUCCUGCUGCAUGGUGGGGGUUGGAAAGUUUCGGCGGUUGGGGAUGGACUCGCGGCUUAUCAGCUUGUUGGUGGGGUAGUGGCUUACCAAGGCUUUGACGGGUAGCCGGCCUGAGAGGGUGGCCGGCCACAUUGGGCCUAAGAUACGGCCCAGCCUCCUACGGGAGGCAGCAGUGGGGAAUAUUGCCCAAUGGGCGGAAGCCUGAUGCAGCGACGCCGCGUGCGGGAUGACGGCCUUCGGGUUGUAAACCGCUUUCGCCUGUGACGAAGCGUGAGUGACGGUAAUGGGUAAAGAAGCACCGGCUAACUACGUG